rnacentral:rRNA from 1 species
UACAGAGGGGGCAAGCGUUGUUCGGAAUUACUGGGCAUAAAGGGCGCGUAGGCGGCCUUCUAAGUCGAACGUGAAAUCCCCGGGCUCAACCCGGGAACUGCGUCCGAUACUGGAAGGCUUGAAUCCGGGAGAGGGAUGCGGAAUUCCAGGUGUAGCGGUGAAAUGCGUAGAUAUCUGGAGGAACACCGGUGGCGAAGGCGGCAUCCUGGACCGGCAUUGACGCUGAGGCGCGAAAGCCAGGGGAGCAAACGGG